AUUGAACGCUGGCGGCAGGCCUAACACAUGCAAGUCGAGCGGAUGAAGGGAGCUUGCUCCUGGAUUCAGCGGCGGACGGGUGAGUAAUGCCUAGGAAUCUGCCUGGUAGUGGGGAUAACGUCCGGAAACGGGCGCUAAUACCGCAUACGUCCUGAGGGAGAAAGUGGGGAAUUUUCGACCUUACGGCAAUCAGUGAGGCUAGGUUGGAUUAGCUAGUUGGUGGGGUAAAGGCCUACCAAGGCGACGAUCCGUAACUGGUCUGAGAGGAUGAUCAGUCACACUGGAACUGAGACACGGUCCAGACUCCUACGGGAGGCAGCAGUGGGGAAUAUUGGACAAUGGGCGAAAGCCUGAUCCAGCCAUGCCGCGUGUGUGAAGAAGGUCUUCGGAUUGUAAAGCACUUUAAGUUGGGAGGAAGGGCAGUAAGUUAAUACCUUGCUGUUUUGACGUUACCAACAGAAUAAGCACCGGCUAACUUCGUG
rnacentral:rRNA from 1 species